rfam:Ixodes scapularis strain Wikel colony gcontig_1108378951358, whole genome shotgun sequence.
GCAGUCGUAACCGAGUGGUUAAGGCGAUGGACUAGAAAUCCAGUGGGGUCUCCCCGCAGAGGUUCAAAUGCUGUUAACUGCG